GAAAUGCGAUAAGUAGUGUGAAUUGCAGAAUUCAGUGAAUCAUCGAAUCUUUGAACGCACAUUGCGCCCUUUGGUAUUCCUUAGGGCAUGCCUGUUCGAGCGUCAUCUAAACCUUCAAGCACUGCUUGGUGUUGGGUGCCUGUCCCGCCCCCGCGCGUGGACUCACCUCAAAUCAAUCUCUUUCUCAGGUUGACCUCGGAUCAGGUAGGGAUACCCGCUGAACUUAA
rnacentral:misc_RNA from 1 species